rnacentral:rRNA from 1 species
GACGAACGCUGGCGGCGUGCUUAACACAUGCAAGUCGAACGGUGAAGCGAGAGCUUGCUCUCGUGGAUCAGUGGCGAACGGGUGAGUAACACGUGAGCAAUCUGCCCCGGACUCUGGGAUAAGCGCUGGAAACGGCGUCUAAUACCGGAUAUGUCGAGUGACCGCAUGGUCCGCUCGUGGAAAGUUUUUCGGUUCGGGAUGAGCUCGCGGCCUAUCAGCUUGUUGGUGAGGUAAUGGCUCACCAAGGGGACGACGGGUAGCCGGCCUGAGAGGGUGACCGGCCACACUGGGACUGAGACACGGCCCAGACUCCUACGGGAGGCAGCAGUGGGGAAUAUUGCACAAUGGGCGCAAGCCUGAUGCAGCAACGCCGCGUGAGGGAUGACGGCCUUCGGGUUGUAAACCUCUUUUAGCAGGGAAGAAGCGAAAGUGACGGUACCUGCAGAAAAAGCACCGGCUAACUCCGUGCCAGCAGCCGCGGUAA